AUAUUUACCUGGCAGGGGAGAUAUGAUCACGAAGGUGGUUUUCCCAGGGCAAGGUGUAUUCGUUGCACUCCAGAUGUGCUGACCGCUAUGAUUUCCCCAAAUGUGGGAAACCUGACUGCAUAAUUGUGGUAGUGGGUGACUCCAUUCAUGCUUUCCCCUG